rnacentral:rRNA from 1 species
UACGUAGGGCGCAAGCGUUAUCCGGAAUUAUUGGGCGUAAAGAGCUCGUAGGCGGUUUGUCGCGUCUGCUGUGAAAAUCCGGGGCUCAACCCCGGACUUGCAGUGGGUACGGGCAGACUAGAGUGCGGUAGGGGAGAUUGGAAUUCCUGGUGUAGCGGUGGAAUGCGCAGAUAUCAGGAGGAACACCGAUGGCGAAGGCAGAUCUCUGGGCCGUAACUGACGCUGAGGAGCGAAAGCGUGGGGAGCGAACAGG